GACGAACGCUGGCGGCGUGCUUAACACAUGCAAGUCGAACGGAAAGGCCCUGCUUUUGUGGGGUGCUCGAUUGGCGAACGGGUGAGUAACACGUGAGUAACCUGCCCUUGACUUUGUGAUAACUUCUGGAAACUGGGGCUAAUACCGGAUAGGAUCUCUUGCUGCAUGGUGGGGGUUGGAAAGUUUCGGCGGUUGGGGAUGGACUCGCGGCUUAUCAGCUUGUUGGUGGGGUAGUGGCUUACCAAGGCUUUGACGGGUAGGCGGCCUGAGAGGGUGACCGGCCACAUUGGGACUGAGAUACGGCCCAGACGCCUAUGGGAGGCAACAGUGGGGAAUAUUGCAGAACGGGCCGAAGCCAGAUGCAGAGACGCCGCGAGCGGGAUAACGGCUUUCGGGUUAUAAACAGCUUUCGACUGUGACGAAGCGGGAGUGACGGUAAUGGGUAAAGAAGCACCGGCUAACUACGUG
rnacentral:rRNA from 1 species